UCUCUCCAUCACAUGGUCUGUGACUUCCUGCGGCAGAGUAAUCCCUUAAUCCUGCUUUAGCUCUGUUAAUUUUCCUUCUUUCCUCUUUUCUGAUCCGCUUUCUCUGUGGGGCAUGAAUCCUGGUGUUUCUCUGUGGAGCUUGUGCCUGGGAGAGAGAGCAGGGAGGCAGCUGCUGCACAUUCAGCCUGCCUUCUGAUCACUUCGUACCAUGCGGCAGGGCCCCUGGGAUGGUGGUGCCUGAAUGUGUCCCAUUCUCUCUGUCUUACAGGCUCUGCAGUCUGCGUCUGAAGAAGCUCACAGUACUUAGGGAACUGGACAAGGAGCUGAGCUCUGUGCUUAUUGCUGUGAAGAUCCAGGGUUCAAAGCGAGUCCUGAGAUCCAAUGAGUAUGUCCUUCCCCCUGGUGGCCUGAUGGAGACGGACCUGGAACUGACAUUCUCUUUACAGUAUCCACAUUUCCUGAAGAGGGAUGGCAACAAACUGCAAAUCAUGCUACAGCGAAAGAAGAGGUAUAAGAACCGCACUUUUCUGGGCUACAAGACUCUGGCAGUUGGCAUCAUCAACAUGGCUGAAGUAAUGCAGCACCCAACAGAUGGAGGGCAGCUUCUCAGCCUGCACAGCAGCAUGAAGGACGUGAGCAUCCGAGUGGCUGAAAUCAGUAUCUAUUCCCUGUCGAGCCAACCCAUUGACCAUGAAGAUGGAAAUGUGCCCUCUGGCCCCAAAAUCAAAGCCUCAGAUCGUUCUCCAGACAUUGAUAACUACUCUGAGGAAGAGGAUGAUAGCUACUCCUCGGAGCAGGAAGCCAGUGACGAUGCUGUACAGGGCCAGGAUUUAUAUGAUGAAGAAGAUGAAAUGAGGAAGCCUAAGAAAGCCAGGAGGAAAAUGAUCAGAACCACAUCAAUGACCAGACAACCAAACUUCAAGCAGAAAUUUGUUGCUUUGCUGAAGAGAUUUAAAGUAACAGAUGAGGUUCUGGAUUCCGACCCAGUGGAUCAAACCCAGGAUGUGGAGGAGGACCUGGGUCUUCUUUAUGACAGCUUGGAGGAAUGCAACAACAGCGACAGUGGCCCAGAGAUGGAGGAUAAUGAGAGUGUGCACAGCACACCCAAGCCCACCCUGAGGCGUUUCUUUGAGGGAGUCUCUCACUCUGGUUCCCAGAGUGAGAUCGGCAGUCUGCACGGCCAGAAAGGGCAGGAGCGAGAAUCUGGCAGCCCUGGAGAAGUGGACAAGUGGAAAGUUGGAACCUCACGGGCCCUGGAGGAGGUUGGCACGGAGGUCUCUACUGGACAGGAGCUAGAAGCAGAAGUGUCCUCCCCUUGGCCAGGCCCAACAGAGACCUCUGCAAGGGAGAGCAAUGUGGACAGACUAGCCCAGCUGGGCAACACCAGCAAGUCUGAACUUCCGAGCACCGUGUCACCCAGCAAGGCUGAGAGCAAGCAGCUGUGGCGGCCCCGCAGCACCUCCAUGAAAGACCAGCAGAACUCGAAGGCCCAGAGUGACCGUGCCAGCAGCCUAGACAGCGAGAGCUCCCCGGACUCCCGGCUCAACACUCAGGCGCCCCGGAAGUCAGUUUAUGAUCAGCUGAACCAGAUCUUGGUCUCAGAUGAGCAGCUUCCCGAGAGCAUCAUCCUGGUGAAUGCUGCUGAAUGGCAAGGACAGUACGUGAGUGAGCAGCUCCAGGCACACAAGCAGCCCGUCGUCUCCACCUGCUCCAUGGCAGAUGUCCAGGCUGCCUUCAACACUAUCGUUGCUCGCAUCCAGAGAUACUGUAACUGUAACUCCCACAUGCCUCCCCCAGUCAAGGUGGUCGUGGCAGGAGACCAGAGCUACUUGAGUGUGGUCCUACGCUUCUUUGUGGAGCAGCUGGCCAGCAAGACCCCUGACUGGCUCAACUACCUCCGCUUCCUCCUGGUGCCGCUGGGCUCCCAUCCCCUGGCCAAAUACCUGGCAUCUGUGGAUAGUAAGUACAAUGCCCUCUUUCUGGACACAGCCUGGAGAGAGCUGUUCAGUAAAGUCGAGGCCCCCAGCUCAGACACUGUGGAUGUCCCAGGCCGAGUUGCCCAGUUCAUUGCAGGGGCCAGCCUCUCUCACCAGCUGCCCAUUUCGGAGGCCAUGCUGACUUACAAGCAGAAGAGGAAGAGAAGUCUCUAUUUUGAUUUUUAUAUCAGCCCGGAUGAGGACUCCUGCCAGAAGUUUGUGCCAUUCGUGGGGGUGGUGAAGGUGGGGCUUGUGGAACAGUCCUUCAGUGCCUCAGUGGACUCUGAUGACGCCACCAUCUGCACCACCUCCCUCCUGAGCUCUGGUACACCAUCAGGUGGAAGCACUACAUACAGCAAGGAGGCUGUUGGCACCCCACCGCCUUCUCCGUCCAUCAGUAGCAGCCUCUCAGGGACUGGGUCCCUGAGCCCUGGGGUGGAGGUAAUGGGCUUGCAGGUUGAUUACUGGACAACUCAAGGGCCUGAGAAGAAAAAGGAGGGAGAGAAGCGGGAGACAGGCAUGAAGAACACGCUGAAGAGCAACUUCCGUUCGCUGCAGGUCAGCCGCCUGCCCAGCACUGGGGAGCCGGCCCCGCCCACCACCAUGGCCAUGACUGUGGUCACCAAGGAGAAGAACAAGAAAGUGAUGUUCCUGAGUAAGAAACCAAAAGAGAAGGACCUAGAGUCCAAAAGCCAGGUGAUUGAAGGGAUCACACGCCUGAUCUGCACUGCCAAACACCAGAACACUAUGCUGCGAGGUAAGGGUGGGGAGGCCUCAUAAUGCACUUUCACCCAGCUUCUCCUGCAGCUGGUACCAAGGCCACGGCACCAGGCAAGCAGGCCACUGCCGCUGCCUCUGCCCUUGGAGCCACAACAGCUGAAGCAGCUGAGUGAAAGCACCCCCUGGCUGUGCAUGUGCUGGGCCUUCAGGCUGACUGAGGUUUCCAUCGAUGGCGUGGAGUGGAACGAUGUGAAGUUUUUCCAGCUUGCAGCACAGUGGCCAACGCAUGUCAAGUAUCUCCCUGUGGGCAUCUUUGGCUACAUGAAGAGUGCAUGAGGUGGCACAGCAGCCGAGAGAAGGACUCUACUGAGCAGGGCCAGAGUGGGGAGCAGACCCUUUUCCUUUUCCUUUCCCUUCCCCUCCCACCAGGCACCGUAGGAGCUGCCUCCUGCCAGCAUGGGCUGGCUGCAAGUGUGGCCCCUUCCCUGUUCUUCAGGGAGAUGACACAUCUCUCUACAUGUACACCCUUGAGGCUUUUUAAUGUGAUGCUGUGGCAGGUGAAACAGUAUCAGGCAGCUUCCAGUAACAGCUAGAAAUCUGAGCCUGUCCCCUCCCAUUACAAGGGCGUAGCAGCGCCCCUGCCCUGGGGUAGGGAUGGAGGCUAGGAACUGCCACAGAGACCAAUGCUGCAGUAGUACUGAGGACCUAGGCAAGAGGAGCCCUGCUGCCUACCUAGGUGCACAAGUGCAGGUUAGAGGAGCCCCUAUAUCCUGUCAUCUAAGAAACCUGCCCUCUCCCCCCACCCUGCUGAGCCACUGAGGUUAGAUGGCCUCUACAUGAGUGUUUUGAGCCAUGGAGCCCAAGGGGCAGGGGAAGAGAUGCAAGCUGUGCUCCGCAGGGAGCAGUCACCCCAUGGCAGAAAUGGCUGGCAGCACCAGUCAGGUCACAGGAAGGACACUAGGCAAGGGGUCUCUUCCCCUGCAAUCAGCUUUUCCUGGGUGGUUGUGGCUGGGGGCAGUGAACAGAUGGCAAGACUCAGAAUGCCAGCUGGGACACAAAGCUAAGUGAGCAGCAUUCCCCAGGCUGGGAGGCAAGAACUCACCCUGCAAACAACAGCAAGAGGCCCCCACUACUCUAAAGCCCUGUGGCAUGAAAGAGGCAGGUGAGUUGAGCAAAGCAGAAGACAGCAAGAGCUGCACACAGGGCACAGGGAAAGGCAAGGACAGGGUCAGUCAAUGUCAGCUUGUGGGCAGGCAGUGCCCCUACCCUGGCGUCAAGCAUGUGUGGUGUUCGUGGUUGUGCUGUGCUGCCAUGUUCUCUUGCAGUGUUGGAGCUAUG